GGACACAGUUCCCAGAUGCAUCAUCACCUCAGGCUACUAGAAAUCAUCAUUCUGACACCACAAUCCUCUGACACACAGUUUCCCAACUCUAAUGUAAAUCAUUGAUUCAGACUAUAAAAUUGUAUUUUGAUGAGACUGUAAGUCCGUGUAAGCUUUUCCUUAUUUUUCAAGAUGCUCUGUCAAUAAAAAUACUAGUGAGAUGGUAUUUUAACCACGUAAUGUACAGUCAGUGCUUUACAUCAAGCUUAUCUAACCCACAGCCUGCAGUCCGCAUGCUCAGGACGACCUGGAAUGCAGCCCAACGCAAUCCCUACACUUUCUUAAAACAUUGAGGUCCUUUAUUUAUAAUUUUAACUCACCAACUGUCCUUAGUGUUGGUGUAUUUUAUGUGUGGCCUAAGACAGCUGUUCUUCCAUUGUGGCACAGGGAAGCCAAAAGAUUGGACAUCCCUGAUUUAAAUAAAACAUUCAAGACCAUGUUCCUAAAAUGUACCAUGUACUCGAACAGAUUAUUCGUGUCUUCUCUGGCCAGGUGUAAAUACCUGGCUCCUGUGUCAUCAUGGCUGAGCUUCACUGCCGUCAGGAACAGCUCGGGAACAGAUGUCACUUGAGUUAAUCAGAAAAACACAACCAGUUAAACUUAGACAAAAUGGCCUUUGAAAUGGUGAUCUUCGAUACACUGAGAAAACUGGCUUUUCUGCCUAAAAUAAGAUGAUGCCAGGAAGCCAGUAUUUCAGAGCUGGAGAGAACAGAACCAUCCUGUCCAAGUCCCUUAUCCUACAAACAAGGAAAGUAAGACUUAAAAAAGGCAGAUGAGAAUGUGUGUAUAUAUAUAUUUUUUGAGUGCUUAUUACUGGCUAGGUAUUUUCUAUUUUUUAAUUUUUUAUUAUUUUUUGGCUAGGCAUUUUCUAAUCAUGUCACAUAUACUCUGUGAGGGAGGUAUUCUCAUCCUCAUUUACAGAUGAAAAACCUGAGGCUCAGGGUGAUGACAUAAGCUGCCCAAAUCACAGAGCCAGGAUUCACCCUGGUGUCUGCCCUUCCCAUGGUACUGUGCCGCACCUAAGUAACACGGCACCCUUUCCAACAUCUGCUGAGUGCCCCCUGCUUUUGUGUACUGCACCUCAGUAACACAGCACCCCUUCCAACAUCGGCCGUGUGUCUCCUGUUUCUGUGCAUAUAAUCUCCUGUUGUACGCAGAACGGGCCUGCAGGGAGGGGAAAUGCUGGAGUGGGCUAGCUGGCGACAGCGGGGAGAGGCUCCAGGAUCAGUCUUUGCUUCUCCUAGUGUGGGAUGGAUUCUCGAUGGUAGCUGGAAGCACAAAGCUGGGGCUUCCAGAACAGCUGGAGGGGCUGGGAGGAUAGAAAUGCCCCCCAAAAAGAUGAAAGACUCCCCACUCCUGAGCGGGGUGGAAGGUCUUCUCCUACUUUAGGUAAGCCUCCUGGUAGUGUCCAUACUUCUCGGUAUGAAAGAAACUGUCUUGUCUUCCAGUCAUGCCAGCCGGCCCUCUCCCUCAAUCACAUACCACGUCCCUGUGAUCACCACACCACUUGCCACCCCCUCCGUCCAGGUGCCAUGAAUCACCUGACCAAGUGCACACAGCAAGUCGCUGGCAGAGGUGAGACCUCAGGUCUCCUCAGCCCAAUCUAGGGAGCCUGCCAUCCAACAGUCAUGCAUAAGCAGCCCACUAUGACCUGCAUCAUCUAGCGCUGUUAAAUUACUUGUUUCCAAGCUUACCAUGCUUUGUAACAGAUGAUCAAUGCAAUUAAAAUCAGCAGAUACAGUGAGAUGUCUGCUUUCUAAUAAUACAUAGUUUUAAUAAUAAUAGCGUUCAUGGUAGCUAUUUCUCAAACCAGAAACAUGACUUAUCGUAAGUUUCUAUGGCUGGAUACAGCGGCUCACACAUUUAAUCCCAGCACUUUGGAAGGCCAAGGUGAUAUGGUUUGGCUGCAUCCCCACCCAAAUCUCAUCUUGAAUUGUAGUUCCCAUAAUCCCCACACGUUGUGGGAGGGACCUGGUAGGAGGUAAUUGAUCAUGAGGGGGGUUCCCCCAUGUUAUUCUCGUGACAGUGAGUACGUUAUCACGAGAUCUGACAGUUUUAUAAGGGGCUGCCCCCUUCACUUGUCAUUCUCUUCCCUGCCACCCUGUGAAGAGGUGCCUUCCACCACGAUUGUAAGUUUCCUGAGGCCUCCCCAGCCAUGCAGAACUGCGUCCUCAAGAAAACCAAGUGCAGCUGGAGGGAGACGCCUGUGCCCGCUCCUGUGACCUUCCCAGCCAGCCUGGCUGCAGCGGCCUCUCGGCAGGCAUCUGUCUGGUGCUGCCUCCAUGCCCCUCCCAUCACCUGACGCUCCUGCUCCUGAAUCUUCACGCGUGUGCUCCGUGGAGCCACCUCACGGGCUCCCUGGGAACGGAUACAGGGUCUCACGCCGGUCAGAAUGCUCUUCUCUGUCCACUGAAUAGUCCAACACGGAAUCAUUCCUCUGUGAUUAUUGAUGCUUUGUUAUGUAGAACUGGAAUGAAGAAAAAGUGAAUUUAGACAUAACAGCCAUCAGGUUGAAGCUAGGUAAUUGCAUUAGGGAAUUAAAUGAGAGCAUUUGAGCUUGUCAAGUUCUAAUUCCACAUCUUCGUAUCCCCAUCACCCCAUAGCCAGUGUCUAUCACAGCCCUUGGUCAGGAGUUUCUUGAUAAAUGCUUAUUGAAUUGAACUGGACUGAGCUUAACAUUCCCACCCAGAGUUAGAAGCCAGUCCCCGAGCAAAUUGCAUUGAGAACGUGAGUUUGACGUCACUGUGGUAAGGGGUAUCCUACACGCCAUAAUUCCUAGUCAGUAUCGGGUAUUUAGUCAAAUAAACUCAAGUAUAGAGAAGCAUAGGCCCAUCUGGCGAAAGGGCAAGGUACGGUGCUUUAGGUCCAGGUCCCCAAUAUCAACUAUGAAAAUAAAAUGUUG